GGCGUGUGAACACUUGGGCAUAUGUAGAACAGUUAGGCCAGUUUCAGUCAGAUCAAGCCAUAUAGAUGGAAGAGAAGAUCAGUCUCCAACAGCCUCGUUCAGGUAUGUUGGUUUGACUACGAUUCAGUGCAAUAUCAAUGGGACAAAUGUGUACACAUGAUGUUUAAAAGUCCUGUUUCAGGCAAAUACAUUUUUGAACAAUAUGCAAAAUUGUAUUUUAAUUUUCUUGAUCAUUGACCAGUCAAAAUCAGGAAGAGGUGAGACUUUUAAAGUCAACUUUUUCAACAACAAUGUCAGAUCUACAAAGUAGAGAAACUAAUCACACUUCUUUUAGAGUACAGGUCUUGAGCUGCUGCUAAUUCCACUGCAUGAUGACUCUUGUGCAAUUAAAUCAGAGCAAUUAUGAAGCAUUCACAGAAUUUCAAACAGAUAUAAUGUCGCUGCUGAAUGAUGGGGAAAAGCUAAGGGACAUCUUUCACAGUCAGCAACUGUAAGCACUUAUAAGCAGUGCUCUGAAAUUAAGGUCUUGGGCACAAACAACAGAAGUGGCCCUAAAGUUUGUAUUUGUUGCACCGUACAUAUCUUUUGCCCUCUGUGCAGGUAUGUUAGCUACAAGACUAUAAUCCUCACUAACAUCUCUGCAUGUCUUGAAACAUUGAUUUACUCAGAGAACAAAAAGGCUGUAAAAUAUGAGAAACAUCUGGUUGUCUCUAUUGCGUCUGCGCUUUGGAAAAUAUUUGAUCUUUAGAUUUACAGACCUGCAGUGAAACAUUUGAAUGUUUUUGGCUAAUCUUUUCAAUCCUGUGUACAGAAUCCUGCAGUGAGAUGAGGCCAUGGCUCUGGUGAGGCUACUGGAUCUGGAUAGACAGAUCUUUAGUGGAGACAGUAUGGCUGAGUAUUAAGGUCAAAAAAAUGUGUCUUGAACUGCUGCCAGGCUUUAGGAGUAACAUCUUGAUCUCCUUCCCACUAUAGGAUAACCUAACUCUACUUAAUGGUGGAGUUAUAUGCUUGUGGUUCACCACUCUAUCAAACAACAGGUCAUGGAAAGUUAACCAAAAGACAAAGCUCAAAUUUCCGUAUGAAGUUUAGAUUUUAUAAAACAAUCACAGAUUUCACUUUAAUGUGUUUUUUUGUUGGUGAAUCUGGUCAAGUUCUCUUUUCACCACCUCUCCUCACCUGAUGGAUGAUCCUGCCAAACUCCGCAGACAUCCAUCACCUCGAGGCUACACUAAGUAAUGUCUCAGCACUACCUCCUCUCCUCCUUCAACACCUCCUGCUCCCACUCUCUCUCUCCGCAUUCCUUGAUCUCUCUCCUCUUUCCUCACACAUCACUCUACCCAGAUUGAUUUUCCUUCCCCUUAUCUCUCUAUUUCCCUUUUUUAUAGUCCCACUUCAGGCUACUUAUUCCUAUAUUCCACUUAAAUCUCUCUCUCUUCAUCACCAGUUCUGUGUUCUCUCUCUUUUGCCCCAGCCUCUCCUGACAUGUUUAUAUGUGUAGGACCCCAUUGAAGCUGAGAGAGAAGCCAUUAGCCGCCGUGUCUGUCGUUCUCUCUGUGUCUCCAGCGGCCGAUCUGGCUGCGCGCCUCUGGCGUGACUCUCUGAAGGGCAGCUGUGUGUGUGGGAGACGAGGGGAAAUGUUAGCGCACAUUCCUUCUGAAGAGGGGCUUUUUGCUGCAAAGAGAGUGUGGUGGAAUUUCCAAAGUGAUCUGGUUUGCAUUCCCUCUCAAGUCAGAUCUAUCUACAGAGGUUAUUAAAGAGCGUCGGCUGUGGCUGAGGCCAGAAUUGAUUAGAAUCAUACACAGACCAUCUCUGCUUACUUGCUCACCAUACCGACAGUCAGCUCAUCCCUCUGAAUGUAAUGGGAUACAGGCGGCCAUGGGGCUGUUCAAAGGCGCAGCUUCAGUGUAAACACAGAGAGGCAGAGGGGGAAUAUUCACCAAGCUCGAGGAUGUUUUGAUGUGUAGAUGUUCCUAAAUGAUUACGAGGCAUAAACUCACAUUCUAUGGUGUGUAUAAGAGUGCUCUCCAUACUGGCCAUGCUGAUUGCCAGUCUUCCUCAGUAUGUAUGUGGAACUAAUCCAGUUAAGGUUUCAGCCUGGCCUCUGUUUAUUUUCACUCACCAGACAUCUGUAUUUCUCAUAAACUACCUCAGAGGGUGUUGUGGUUUGAAGCAGGGUUGUAUAAAACCGGGUAAAAUCAGGGUGUGUUCACUUGUGGUUUGAUGAUGUAUACUACUGGAGGGCCACAUUUAACAAAAACCAGCCAAAUCUCUCACCCCCUCACAGAAUCACUCCUUGGAGGUGCCUACUAAAUUGUGCUGAUUUCCCAUUUUAGGCCUGUAUGCUAGCUAGGCCUUCAUAUAUAAAAACUAUCACCAAGUUCCUAAAUCCAGUGUAAGCACACCAUGACAUAAAUCCUACUACCACUAUUUAUGUGGUCUAAAUUACUUCCACAGAGAGGCAGGGCAGCUGCUAAUACGGUGCUGUUCUGUUGUUUUUGUGUCUUCAUAUGUGUGUGUCCAUUUAUAAACUCUAUGCAUAUGGUGGGAGUCUCGGUGCACUAAUUCACAGACACAGACUGAGCCCAAACCACAAUCAGCUGGCUCAUGCUUUUCCUCUGUCAGUCUGGGUAAUGUUUACACACGCACACACAGAGCCAGCGAUGCAACUUAUACAUCGCAUUAAAAAACCCAAAUCAGCUAUACAGCAACACCGCCUCCACCUAAUAUGUUCUUGGCAACAGUUUUGCUUAGACGCGGGGGAAUUAGAAAUAAUUGCAAAUGAAUCUCAGGGGUUUGCCCUGCACACAAUCACUGUUUCUGCCACUGCCAACUCGUCUGGUUCUGAUUUGGGAUGUUUAAUGCAAUAAAAAGCUGGCAUUUUUCAGACUAAAAUCACACUCAACAUUGUUCACAUGGCUCCAAGAGCCAAAACAAACAAACACAGGAUGUUUGGGAGAGAGAGAAGGCUUGUUCAGUCUGAUAUAAUCUAACAUUAUUAGAAGAGGAACAAACAGGCCAAAUGAUUUGUUGUUUUCAUGUAAAGACAAUGCACUAAAAAAACCAUAUAUGUGCUGCAAUAAGAGUUCAGCAUGUAAGCAGAACAUAAUCACAAAUCUGCAUGACAAAUAUGUAGCUUGGGUGUGAGUAGCAGUAAAAAACAAGAACUUCCAGGUCUUUGCCGUGCAGUCAAGUUUGUAAUCUGUACAGGACAUUACUUAAUUCAAUGGAAUGCUAUAAAACUAUUUUACUUCUUAUUAUUUGUGCUAUCGCUAUGUGAAGUGUUAAAGAAUAAGUGGAAGUGGGUGGAAGCUUGAGUAAUAAAGAAAGCCUGCACUGUAGUCUGUCACUUUGCUGCAGCUAGACUUUUUCUUUGUAUGCUGCUUCCUUCAACAGGUCAAGUUUGAGCAACAAAAUUAUUUGAAAAAGAUCAUUUUAUCUAUCUAAUCAACAUACUGUAUAUGCACAAGCAUAUGGAUCAAUUGCAGUGACAUUCCUCUCGGAUCCUGUUCAGCACAUUUCCAUCUAAAUGCCUUUCUGCUUAGUAGCCAGGCCUCUCCGCAGAUGGGAAAAGAACAAGGAGGGAAUUAUUCUCCCAACAAGAAGCUUGCUCUUUGUUUGGAUCAAUGCUCUGCUGAAUGUAAUCAAAAUUUACCAGGAGACAAAAACAAAAUGCCUAACACUGAUCUGGUUGGCUGCCGCACAAGCUGCCAAGGACUUAAUCCAUGUCACACAAUGCGAGGUCUUGGCAAUAUAUUUGUACGCUAUCCCUCCUGCAAAUGACAUUAGUGUGUGAGCCCAAAAUAUCUGCUGCAGUCAUUGUGGAUGUGUAAUGUAGUGAGAUGCCAGGAAAUUAGAGGCCCCAGUGUGUGAGAAAAUAAACCAAGGAGUCAAAGAAAUAGAGAAGAGAAAGGGAAGAACAAAGAGAAUCCGCACAUUUAUCAUAAUCGCAUUUCCAACUCUUGCUCUUUGAAGGUCUAACCUCAGCCUAAUUAUGACAAAAGUGUUUUUUUUUCACCAGGAACUUACACAUCGUUAAACUAUGCACCUAAAUGGUUUAAUCUAGAUUGGUGAUUACUGAGUAUUUGCACCCACAGACUCAUUUACCUUCUUUGUAGCUUAGCGAGGGCUGACCUGACCAAGCUAACGCUAGUUUACUUGUAUAUAAAGCAAACAGUUUGUGGUGAACAGUACAAGAGGUGCUGUAGUAGUGAUUUGUACGAAGAAGAUAUUAAGUCCCAAUGACCUAUGGUACCUAUAGAAAAAUAACACAACUUACCUUAAAAAGUCCAAAACUCUAUGCUAAUGUCACUCCAAUGCCAGCACCACUCCAGUCACCUCUUCAAAACUCAUCAACAGCUCUUAUUUUCCUUGGUAAAAUUAUGUAGGGCAAUAUGGUGAGUUCACGAUACUAAAAAAUGAAAUAAAAAACUGUUUGACAAUGGCGUUGUUGUUGUUGUACACUUUUAACAUGGAACUCAGUGCCAGAGAUAGAUGAUAAAAUAGCUGCUUGAAUUUUAAUGAUAAGCAAUUUACUGAGUUCAUCCAUCCAUUUUCUACCGCUUAUUCCCGUUCCCGGGGUCGCAGGGGGGCUGGAGCCUAUCCCAGCAUCUUCGGGCGAAGGCACCCUGGACAAGUCGCCAGUUCAUCACAGGGCUGACAUAUAGAGACGAACAACCAUCCAUGCUCACAUUCACACCUACGGGCAAUUUGAAAGUGGCCAGUUAACCUGACCCCACUUAGGCGUGUUUUUGGGAUGUGGGAGGAAACCGGAGUACCCAGAGUAAACCCACACAGACACAGGAAGAACAUGCAAACUCCACACAGAAAUGCCCUGACUCGGAUUCAAACUCAGAACCUUCUUGCUGUGAGGCGACAGUGCUAACCACUACACCACUGUGCCGCCCUUACUGAGUUUAAUUACAUCAAAAUAAUUAGAUGCAAAAAAAGAAAAUACUUACUUUUUUUUACUUAUAAACUCCACUGUGCCACCGACUUGACAUUUUCUUUUGCACACCAAUUCAUCAUGUUUGUGUUUUUCGGUUUCAGACCAGCAGUUGUCCACUGCUUUUUCACAGAGCACCCUGCGACCAAAUGAAGCUGUUAUUAAAGACAAAGUAAUUCUUCCUCAUGAUUUGGGAAGCACCGUGAAAUGGCAAAUACCGCUUAUGGAGUACUAUUCAAUUAAAGGUGAGUAUGGUUUGAUUUUAGACACUAUUUAACACUCUGAUUAAACCACACAAAUACUACACAUACUUAAUCCAUUUAAAUACAUAAAUAGAGAUCAUUACUUGGCUGAACUAUCAACAUGCUGUGAUAAACUCUCAAUUCUGACUGGUCAAAACCCACGAACAACAGCAAUUAUUCUGAAUGUCAAGAUGUGGUGCCGUGGACUACCUGAUCAAACGUAUCCAACCAAGCAGAUGGUAAUGGUUUCACCUCUUCCUGUUGACCAGGAGAUUUUAUUUCAAGAGAAAGUACCACAGUUAGCCUGUAUAGCCUCCCUUACUCUCUGUUUGUGUAGUUGGAUGCUUUGGAUUGAUUGACACCACAUAUGUUUUCCAGCAUCUGCUUUACACAUUCAAUCCAAACUAAGACAUUUCUUGAAUUUAACGAUCCAACAUGUUGUAAAGCCAAUUAUAACUGCGUCGUUUAAGAACUUAGCAGGGACUUGAUACAGACAAUCAAAAAUAGAUUUGUGAAUAGUGAGUGAAACACUAUGCUGUCAUUUAUGGCGCGUCAUCAGUCUGUUGCUAUCAUCAAGCUGUCAACGCAUUGUGAGUGGCUGCAGCUUCAAAUGAGAAUUAUUCAAAUUCCUCAAAGAGGAACCUUGAAUUCAAUCUGCUCAUUUUAUCUGAUCUGAUUUUGAACGUUAGACACUCUCAGCAUGGGUCAGUCCUGAGGAUGAAGACAUCCCUCGUGUUGCUGCAAGAAUUAAUUUCAAUCAUUCCAGACAUAGUGAGUUGUAAUAGUAUUCAUGCCCAUCAGGAGUGUCUGGAGCUGUAUUUAUGUAGUUACUGUACCUUGUAUUCCCUGUCUGGAAGCUGUUAAGUCUGUACGCUCAUACCUACUGCCAUCUGGGCUCUGCCAGGACUUUUCACCGUUUUACCUCUGAAUUAAGAGACUAUGUUGAAUCAUUUUUCCAUCCGCAGGGCUCAUGCUUAUCCUGAAGACACUAGAGGCUUUGUAUGUUCAUUUUUUCUUUUGCUACGGUCUACAUUUCUCAGCGAAAAAUAAGCCUCUGGAGAAGGUUUCAGUGUCUCACCUGGGAAUAACUCACUGUAACAAGAUUUGCUGACUUAAUGUACAAAUAACGCAGCUGCGAAAACAUUAGUACUAAAUGGUGUUGUCAGAUGGUUUAGAGUGAGCUAUAAUCUGUUGAAUGAUUUCAUUCAUAAUGCAAAAUCAGUUCACAUGGCUUAUUCAGAGAGCAGUGUGAUCAAAGGCCAACACAGAGAAGCUCUGAGUGAUUUUAAUUGCCAGAUAUACCUCUAGUUUCUUCCAGAGCGGUGAGUCAGACUGUUCGACAUUUUCCUGCUGUUCACAUUGAAGCAGAGUCUCCAUGGUAUGCUCAGCUCAUCACUGUCACUUUACAGGUUUAACCAUCUUUCACAGGCUGUAAGUAGAUCCCAUUGCACUGAGCUCAGUGAGUAUACUGGCAAAGAGAGGAGUUUUCCAUUCAAGGUGCUAAGAUAGUCCAUGGAGUCUGAUAGACAGGCCAUGGUGAAACUGCUUUACCAGAGGAUAGUGAUGGUUAUUUAUCCUCUUUGGCCAGUCAGGCUGGAGAGACCUCAAGAGAGUUGUGGUUUCUGAGAAGACUCCUUUGAGCUGUCCACAGAUGAGACCAACAGCAGACAGUCUGAUAAGUUUCAGAUAAACCUCCCAUUUUGAAAAUAGCACAUUUUUCCUCUCUCUCUUGCAACAACCAUCUUUUUUUCACCUCUAGCUAACAGACAGAUGAGACUUUUCUCAACAUUAAAAAGGGAAGUUGCAGAAACCUUCUCGUGGCAUUCUAGAAACUUUUAACAUUCUGUUCUGCGUGUACAGAACAUUUGGCAUUCAUGUAGACAUCUUAACUAAUGAACAGUCUUGUAAGUGUUAUUGAACUUAACCACUCGCAGUGGGAGCCUGGUCUGCUCUUUUUUAUGUCUCUCAGUGAUUGGUCUGUCUCACCACAAUGACUUAUUCAAUAGAGGUUAGUGCCAGUAAAGAGAGUCAAAAAUCCCCAAGAACAAACCCCAAGAAGCUGUAGGAAAGAAUUCUCUCUGUAAAACUUACAGGCAACUUGAUCACAGUUUGAUGCAAGGGAAAGUUUUGACACAUUCAUGAGAGUUCACUCAGUAAAUCUGUGGGAAUAUCCGUUUAAGAAGACAAUGAGAUUUCCAGGUUUUACUGGACUCCAGCUAAAUAAAGGAAUACUGGAGCUAACUGAGUAAAUGUUGGGCAACCGCACUGUCAAAAUUUUGGCCACCACUGUGGGGUUUGGACCACAUGUGAGAGUCUGUGUGUUAUUGGAUUAACACAACCUCGUCCAUAGUCUGAUUUUUUAAUUCUUCAGUCAGUAAAAAGGGGUUGGGAAAAUCAUGACCAAGUAUUGUUGUAAUGAAUGUAAGACCGACUAAGACAGGAUUAGAAACAAAGAUUCAAGUGCAACCAGGCUGUAUUGUGAGAUAUGAAUAAAUAAGUCAGGUUUUAAACUUCUAUCAGCAUGUGUAUUUGCUAGAUAUAUAUGUAUGGAUGUUGUUUUUUGGUAUAGUUAAAAAUCAGUGUGUCAUCUGCAAAGUGAUAGUAAAGAUGUUUCAUUUUUUCCACACUCUUUGCCAAAUGGAUUUUGUAGAUGUUGAGAAGAACAGUCUAGCAACAGUCAGAGAAAUUCAAUCCAGUUUAGCACAAAAAAAAGUAACCGUUUUGUGCAUUGCCUUUCAAACUGCAUGGCAUUACCUGUGUCCAAUUGGAUUUAAAGCACUUGCUCUUACUGGUCUUGUUUCUUCUUGUCUCGACCUUUGCUUGUGUUGUUCUUUUAUGUACAUCGCUUUAGAUAAAGUGUCUUCUAAAUAAUAUUUUAACAUUGUAGCACUGGGCCAAAAUGCCCACCCGAGUUUUCCAGUCUGUCUAGAAAUAUAGUGGAUGACCAUGUCCAAUGCAGAUCCAGUAUACUUAAGCUAAAUCCUUUCCAUUGUCUGUGUUCAAGCUGAUCUCAGCCAUAACCUUGGCAAGAACAACUCAAGUGCUAUAGUGUACUCCCAACAGGGUGAGACGAUACAUUAUCCUUUGUUUACAAUCAGGUGAUAACUGCAGCUCUCAGGAGCUGGAAAAAUAGCCUUAUAGAUAUAAAAACAAAGUCCAUGGAGUCAAAAAAAAAAAAAACUUCCAUAAAGAUUUCAGUAAAUGUUUUAAAUAAUCUGAUUCCAGAUUUCUCUAAUACUUUCAUAAGUAAUUUAUCUGGUUUUAAGGUGAUGCAAAGGCUUUACAUAACCUCAACAUGACGAGGAGUCCCUGACAGCUUGUUAUAUUCUGAAUUUAGUCAGCAAUAAAUGAGGUGAAUUCACUGCAUACCAAAGGGGAUAAAGGUUCAAGGGCUUCUGACAUAGGAGAGGCGGGGUGAGCCUGUCAACAGAAGCAAAUAAAGUAAAUGAUUUAUCUUUGUUUUUAGUAAGACUAGCAAAUAAGACACUUUAGUCUAUUCAACACAGAAUCGUCGAAAAUCAAAUGUCAUAAAUCACCUGAAUAUGUUUUUCUCACCCACAGUCAUGGCACCUCAAUCAUGAUGCUGUUUUUCUUUUACUCUCACAGGAUGGACCGAAUGGUUGUUUUUAGAGGAAAUAAAUUAACGUCAGCCCUUAUGAGCUGGGUGCAUUUGGAUCGCUCUACAUCAUUUUAAAAGCAGG